rnacentral:rRNA from 1 species
UAUUGGGCAAUGGGCGCAAGCCUGACCCAGCAACGCCGCGUGAAGGAAGAAGGCUUUCGGGUUGUAAACUUCUUUUCUGGGGGACGAGGAAAGUGACGGUACCCCAGGAAUAAGCCACGGCUAACUACGUGCCAGCAGCCGCGGUAAUACGUAGGAGGCAAGCGUUAUCCGGAUUUAUUGGGUUUAAAGGGCGUGUAGGCGGGAAUGCAAGUCAGAUGUGAAAACUAUGGGCUCAACCCAUAGCCUGUAUUUGAAACUGUAUUUCUUGAGUGCUGGAGAGGCAAUCGGAAUUCCGUGUGUAGCGGUGAAAUGCGUAGAUAUACGGAGGAACACCAGUGGCGAAGGCGGAUUGCUGGACAGUAACUGACGCUGAGGCGCGAAAGCGUGGGGAGCAAACAGG